rnacentral:tRNA from 1 species
GCUCCCGUAGCUCAACUGGAUAGAGUGUCGGCCUCCGAAGCCGAAGGUUGCAGGUUCGAACCCCGCCGGGAGCACCA